GAGCCAAAGCAGCAGACUUCUGUUAUAGAGACCAAAACAUCCCUAACAGAUCACUCUUCCCAUGAUGCCUCCAACAAAGAUGCUGUCGUCACGCAGGAGCCAAAGCAGCAGACUUCUGUUAUAGAGACCAAAACAUCCCUAACAGAUCACUCUUCCCAUGAUGCCUCCAACAAAGAUGCUGUCGUCACGCAGGAGCCAAAGCAGGUAUUUACCAUCAAAGGGUUUUUCUCUAGUGAACUAUACCGAAAUGAUGAGACGUGAUGAGUAUAUUAAAGACAACCCUCCCAGUCCACACUGUGAUGUUGUUCGAAAGAAGACGAGGAAUGGAAACAUUCAGGUGAUUGGAGUAGCUGAUUUUUCUGAUCCUCUGAUUGACUCAAAUGAGAGUAUAGUAGAUGAAACUGAUGAGGAUUCUAGUCUGCAGUCAGACAAUGAAGUUGUUCCAAAAAAUUUUUUGAUGGAUAGAGUACCAAAUUGUUCUGUUCCUCUUAAUGAGUCAAGUGAUGACAGCAUAGAUGAGCCUUCCACUCCUAUGUCUGGAAUGGCUUCACAAAGGCCGAGGAGAAACUGUCACCGUCCUGUAAGCCUAAUUUUUUCAUACAUUAUAUCACUUAAUGGUUAGUGCUAACUAACGCAGUGUGGGCGGCGUCAGAUGUUUAACGAUACACCGCUGAUCAUGUACUUAAAAACAAUUUUACCCCCAAGCGAAAUACAAGAAAACUUCGCCUUAUAUCGAGUAUAUCGGGGCCUUUACUCUCCUCACGUAAUAAGUGAAAACUUUGUUCAUAUUGGACCUCGAUCUAACAGCUUUGUGUAACGAUAAAGGUAAACAUUUAUAAAAUAUAUUUUUAUUUUAUUUUAAUAUUUUAUUUUAAAUAUUUUUAUAGCCUGUGAUGUGAUUAGAGGAGACAAAUGCGCAUCUCCAGAAACUUGAGCCUUAAAUACAGUUUAUAGUCAAAUCAGAAUCAGAAAGUUUUAUUGCCAAGUACGCUUGCGCAUACAAGGAAUUUGUUUUAGUGACAUAAGCUUCCAGUUCACAGAGACGACAAAAAAAAAGGCAAAUAAAUAAGUGUAUAAACAAUUGUGCUAUAAAUGAUAAUGGAGUUGGAUUGAGUAAGAUGCCGGGAUGUACUAGGAUGCAGGGAUAACAAAUAAAUAUAAGGAUAUUGCACAUUUGUAUUGCACAAGUGGGGAACAUUUAACUGUUCAUGAGGUAGAUUGCCUGGGGGAAGAAACUGUUCUUGUGCCUGGCUGUUCUGGUAUUUGCAGUUCUGAAGCGCCGGCCAGAUGUCAAAAGUUCAAAGAUGGGGUAACUUGGAUGAGAGGGAUCCAGAGUGAUUUUCUGAGCCCUUUUCCUCACUCAGUGUAUACAGUUCUUGAAGGGUGGGCAGGGGAGCACCAAUAAUUCUUUCAGCAGUCCGAACCGUUCUCUGUAGUCUUCUGAUGUCUGAUUUUGUAGCUGAACCGAACCAGACAGUAAUUGAAGUACACAGGACAGACUCAAUGACGGCUGAGUAGAACUGCUUCAGCAGCUCCUGUGGCAGGUUAAACUUCCUCAGCUGGCGAAGGAAGUACAACCUUUGUUGGGCCUUUUUAACAAUGGAGUCAAUGUGAUUGUCCCACUUCAGGUCCUGAAUCUGAAUGACUCCACUGACUCUGAAUGGUUUGUAUAUGUAU
rnacentral:lncRNA from 1 species